CGGAAGCCCGUCACAGCCGCACCGAGGCGGCCCCCGGCGUCCCCCCGCCGCCCCCCCGCGGACCAGGCGGAGGAGGAGCCUGUGGGCCCAAUUUGCUGCAUUUGCGUACUGAGGCGGGAGGGAUUGAACCGGUACCUGACCGCGCCUGUGUGGGGGCAGACACGCUGCUCUGCAGGAGCCGUUGCUGAAGCACAACGGUCUUAAAAAUGCCAGAAUAGGGAAAGGUUAACAAGCGUAAUUCCCAUCGCAGAACUUCCGUUAAUUGUGCCACCAUCCUGAAACCCUUGGUAAACGAACACACACGUGUAAAAUGCGAUAGAAGGUGUAUUGACACUGCGACUUCUUUGAGCGCAAGACCUCAAAAACUCGUUUGCUACCACGCUCUUAAAGGUCACAGUAAGAAUAGCACAAAAAAAAAAUCAUUCUCCAUCUCUCAUCUGACAGCAGCGGAACAGACUCCAUUUAACUCGUCAAGCUCCCUCUUUCCGUGGAGCAGUGCCCGGUGCGGGCCGCGCACCGCCAGCCCGGCGCCCUGCGGGGGUCCGCUCCAGCGUGUUCUCCCUCAGCUAUUGCUCAACCAGCGUAAAUAAUGGAAUGUCAACUAGAGAUUCUGUUCUCAAGUGGAACAGGAGAGCUACUACAUCAAACCCGUUCUUAAAACAGUCAAUGAGCCAGCGACCAAAGCCAAGUGAAUAAGCUAAUACAGACUGCAUGUUAAAAAUGUAAGAGCAACAAUGUAAUAAAUGUAUUGAACCAAAGGAAUUAAGUAUUUAUCGCUAUGGUUAGUUUAAAUCUUUAUGAUGUUUGCAGUGUUAUUAAUGCCAGAAAGCAGUAAAUGUGAGGCAUAAAAUAAAAUACCCCAAUUUGCCUCCUGAA